rnacentral:misc_RNA from 1 species
GAUGAAGAACGCAGCGAAUCGCGAUAAGUAAUGUGAAUUGCAGAUUUUCCGUGAAUCAUCGAAUCUUUGAACGCACCUUGCGCUCCUUGGUAUUCCGAGGAGCAUGCCUGUUUGAGUGUCAUCGAAACCUCGGAUCGACGCUUCGACCCCGUCGAAGCUCGGUUCGGACUGUGGGAGUCUGCCGGCGAAGCGUGACUUCGUCGGCUCUCCUCAAAAGCAUUAGCUGUGGGUGGCGAGCCUGGCAUGGCACGGCCUGUUCGACGUCGUAGUGAUCGUCGCGGGCUGGAAGUGUAUGGCUCGACGUGACCCAUGCUUCUCGAGUCUUGCGAGCCCGUCCCUCUGUGGGACGGCCGCGCCCCAUCGAAGCUUGACCUCAAAUCAGGUAGGACUACCCGCCGAACUUAAGCAUAUCAAUAAGCGGAGGA